GGAUAGCAUGGCCUUCAGAUUAACACCUGGUUUCCCCAUUGGUCGUAGCAGUGGCGACGCAGUAUGUCAAGGUGAAUUCAGCCAAAACACCUCACCCUGAAUAGCCAAGUACCUGUGGAAUAAAGACUUAUUAAAGUUCUUUGUAGUUAUCAUGUGUUUAUUUGAAUACAGACUUAAGAGGUGCUCCAAAUUAAAUCUUUUGUUUAGUGUAAAUAAAAUCUGAUGCCUCGGUAGGCAAUUCUCCCUUCACCUGAUUUAAC